rnacentral:rRNA from 1 species
AUUGAACGCUGGCGGAAUGCUUUACACAUGCAAGUCGAACGGUAGAGGGGGCAACCCCUCGAGAGUGGCGAACGGGUGAGUAAUAUAUCGGAACGUGCCCAGUCGUGGGGGAUAACGUAGCGAAAGCUACGCUAAUACCGCAUACGAUCUGUGAAUGAAAGCGGGGGACCGUAAGGCCUCGCGCGAUUGGAGCGGCCGAUAUCAGAUUAGGUAGUUGGUGGGGUAAAGGCCCACCAAGCCGACGAUCUGUAGCUGGUCUGAGAGGACGACCAGCCACACUGGGACUGAGACACGGCCCAGACUCCUACGGGAGGCAGCAGUGGGGAAUUUUGGACAAUGGGCGCAAGCCUGAUCCAGCAAUGCCGCGUGCAGGAUGAAGGCCUUCGGGUUGUAAACUGCUUUUGUACGGAACGAAAAGGUCUGCACUAAUACUGUGGGCUCAUGACGGUACCGUAAGAAUAAGCACCGGCUAACUACGUGCCAGCCGCCGCAGUAA